rnacentral:tRNA from 1 species
GGGCCCGUAGCUCAGCCUGGUAGAGAAACUCUGGUUUGAUUAAUCAGAAUUUCCCAGUAAGCAACGGCCUUUUAAGCCGUUUGUCGUGGGUUCAAAUCCCACCGGGCUCGCCA